rnacentral:lncRNA from 1 species
UAAAAUAAAGUACUCAUUUUAUUGAAAUAAAAAAAUACUUUUUCUACAUAAUAUAAAAAAAUACUCAUUAGUUGAAAUGAAAAAAAAUACUUCGCUUAAAUAAAGGAAAAUACAUUUUCUACAUCAUGACUAGAAAAUUAUCAUUUUAUUGAAUUUAAAAAUAAUAUUUUUUCUACAUUAUGAAAAAAAAAACUUUUUUGUUUAAAUAAAAGAAAAUAUUUUUUUACAUGAUGAAAAGAAGUAAAUUUUUUUAUUAAAAUGGAAAAAAAUACUUUCUUAUUUCAUGAAAAAAAAUAUUUUGCUGAAAUUAAAAAAAACUAUUUAUAACAUAAAAAAGAAGUACCAUUAAUAAUAUUUUAUUUAGGGAGGAGGUGAGACAGGGUGGACGGGAGUGGGUUGGUAGGUGGGGGCGUGUGGAGACGCGUUGGUGGAGGGUUGGUAGAAAUGGGGAAUAAGGUGGGGAGGUUGAGAAAAGGUUUUGAAAAAUAUUUUUCCUUUUCUUAGUAUAGAAAAAUAUUUUUCAAAACAUUUAAAUCAAUCAAACAUAAAAAGUUUAAAAAUAUUUUCUUUAGUACCAAAUACACCCUAAAUCUAGUCACAUUCAGAUGCGUUGGUCGGGGGUUGGUAAGAAUGGGGAUUAAGGUGGGGGUAUUAAAAAAAGUUUUAAAAAAUAUUUUUUUUUCUUCAUAUAAAAAAAUAUUUUUCAAAAUAUUUAAGCCAACCAAACAUAAAAAUUUAAAAAUAUAUUUUAAAAAAUAUUUUCUUUAAUACCAAAUACACCCUAAAUCUAGUCACAUUCAGAUAAUGUUAGUCAAAUUAAAUAAGCUGGGAAUAUAAUAAUUAAAAUUAUGAAGAAAUAAAGGGUACCUUGCAGGAAACUCAAUCUACUGUAAUUACUAUGUGAAUUUUAGCAUGGAAAGCUGGAAUUCUGUAUAUUAUUUAUCAUUAAAGGUAGGGGUGUUUAUAAAAACCCAAAAAAUCGAACUAAACCGAACAUCAAACCAAUUCGAUCAAAAAAUUGAUACUUUUUAGUUAAGUUUGGUUUUGGUUUUGAAUUUUAAAAAUCGAUUAAAUUUGGUUUGAUUUUGGUUUUAAUCAGAAAAAUACCGAACUAGCCCGACCAUAGGAGUAACUAUUUCAAAUUUAUUAUUACACCUAUAUAUAUGUAUAUUAUUAUACAAAAUUUCAAAAAAAUUAUGGUGAAUGUUAAUAGUUUGCACUUUUAAUAUAGUUCUUUACCUUUACAUUCUAGUUUGAUUGAUAGUUUUCAUUUGUUUAGUAUAAGAAUUCAUUUCGUUUUUAAAAAUAACACAUUUUAAUUGAGUCUUAAAUUAUUCAUCACAAUUUGAUUUAAUUAUCAUCAAUAUAUCUUGGUAAACAAUAGAUUUCUCAAAGCGCAACUGAUUUGACAGUGUUACAUUGAAAAUGUGGUCGCGGGAAUAUGUGUUUGGUGUUGCAUAUCUUAUAUUUAAGAAAAAGCUGACAAAUAACCGAAAAAAUCGGAAAACCAAUAUAAACAGAAUCGAGAAAAAUAGACUUAUUAGUUUGAUUUGGUUUGAUUCUAAUAUUUGAAAAACCGACUAACUUAGCUUAGUUUCUUUUAAAGAAAAAACCGAUCCAAACCAAACCAUGAAUAUCCCUAAUUAAAUGAGAGUGUCUUAUCCAUUAACCCAAAUGUUUGUCUCCAAAUUAUGAAUCAACUUUUAAAUUUUUUCUUUAAUUUGGAUACCUUUUCACAGCUAAUUAACUGCACAUUUACAACACAGAAUACCUUGGCCGACCCUGCACGGAGAAAUUAAUAUUAUUUAAUCUUUUUAUUUUGUACACUUUGUUUUCUAUCUUGUAUAUGUUACCCUUUUAGGUCAAACACAGAAUUAAAUAAAAAGUUAAUCAGAUAUUAGUAUUUGUCUUUGGUAUUUUUGGAUCUUGUUUUAUACAAAUAAAAGCAUACAUAAGUUGAUCUAGGUUACUUUAUGUGGCAUACAUAUUUGAGACUUCACACGCGACUUGAAUUACAUUAUAAGGCAAGUAAAAAUUAUUAUGAUGUCGUAGUUCAUUCAUAAUUCGAGUCUUUGAAAUUAUUUUCUUUUAAGUAAGAAGCACUUGUUUCUAGUUAUCAUAUCAUCACUUGCGAUCGACCAAAAUUCUUUUCUAAGUUCAGUUCUUAUUUUAGAGUCCGACUAAUUUAAAUCUGCAUCGUCAAGCCUCACUUUAGGAAUAAAGCACUUUCAAAGACGACUUUAUAUAUGCACAAAAUUUGAACCUUAAAUUUCUAAUUAAAGAUGAAAGAAUACUUACAAUUCUAAUAAAUUUUUUUAAUGAACCGCUCGAUCACAGCUGAUUGUAAUGUUGGUAUCUUUCAGACAUAUAUAUAUAUAUAUAUAUAUAUAUAUAUAUAUGUGUAUAUGUGAAAAAAAAAAGAGAAACCUUGAAUAGCUCAUCUAUANNNNNNNNNNNNNNNNNNNNNNNNNNNNNNNNNNNNNNNNNNNNNNNNNNNNNNNNNNNNNNNNNAUAUAUAUAAAUGGACAAUAAUAGCAAAGUUUUUAACUAUAGCGAUAUAGCCUAAUUAGGGGUAGCAAUUUGAGCUCAAGCUCAUCCAACACACCCAGAGAUUAAGGGCUGGACUACAAACAUAGGAAUUUUACAUUCCUAUGCUACAUAGAAAAUCUUAUUAUCCUCAAUAUUUAAGGUUUGAUUUAAUUACACUUAGUAUACCAAAUUACCAGUUCUAUACUAUCGUAUAUUUUAAGGAUACAAUUAAUGCAGCGUAUACCCCUCCUUAAUUCAAGGUACCGUAUAUCUCACCCCUCCCACGUUUCUUUCUCCUAAACCCUUACUCUCACCCACGUUUUAGUAAGGGAUUUUUUUCUUCAUGCCCUCUUAAAAUGAACAGAAGUCAAAAAAGAUUCGUCAAAAUCAGGACAGAUAAGCUAAAGGGGUCGUUUUGUUUGUUAAGGUCUGAAAAGGGUUGAAUAUUUUUAUCUUCUUCAAUCUUUUCACCUGUGGGAUACACCAUGUUCAAGUAACAAAAUUUGGAUUUUCAAAAUCUUUGACAUGGUUGUUGUAAUAGGAAAGAUACCGACUUUAUAAACGUAUUCAAAGAGUGACAUGCGGAUUUUGUUGAGCAAGCGAAAGCAUCUACAAUUCGAAGUAGUCGCUUUGGAUUUGUGAAAACAGAAAAUAAUGCAUCUACAACAGAAUACAAACAAUUUUAUUCAUCUACAAAAUAUCUACAAACUGGGUGUAUUAAAUUUUAAUAUCCCAAUUUCCAUUUGAUUUAUAUUGUAGUUAAUUGGGAUUUUCGGAAUAAUAGCAUUUUUAUAGAAGAUUGUAGAAGUUUUAGUCGUUUUUUAUUUGUGAAAACAGAAAAUAAAGCAUCUACAAUUAAAUACAAAUAAUCUACAAUUUAUUUAUAAAAUAUCUACAGACUGGGUACAUUGAAUUUUUAUAUCCCAAUUCCCGUUAAAUUGUAGCAUAAUUGUAAUUUUUGACAUAAUUGCAUUUUUUCAAAAGAUUUGUAAAAGUUUUUGCCGUUUUUUAUUUGUGAAAAUAGAAAAUAAAGCAUCUACAUUCAGAAUACAAAUAAUCUAUAAUUUAUCCAUAUUUUAUCUACAAUUUCUGCAAUAUGUCGUCUUCUUCUUCUUCUUCUUCUUCUUCUUCUUCUUCUAGUUUCAAUAUGAAAUUCAGUCAAAACCAAGUCUGAUCUUUACCAAUCCCCUCAAAAUUGAGAUAUAAACUCCAAACCAUAUUUUAGAUUAUUUUUAACAACACACAAUCCAAAUAAAUAAUGAUAUUUGAAAACCCAAAUUUAAAUUCAAAGCUUUCAAGCUUUUUAAUGGCUGUCAAUUGUGGAAAAUAUCUGGAAGAAUAUUUACUUCGAUAAUUGUAGCGCGCCUAUGCAUGAAUAUCUGAAAGAAUAUUUAGUUCCAGAUUUGUAGUGCACCUAAUUAGGAAGGAAUCAACUCCUAAUAAUUGGUAUUUAAUGAAUGAUAUAUAUUUUAUAGAAUAACUGUGAACAUGACGGGUAAAUAUAAAACUAUACAAAUUUUUUGUAAUAAGGUUUCAUAUAUACUAUAGGAAAUAAAAAGUCUCGUUAGUUUAUCGGUCUAUAUGGAUUGAGCCCAAGUUGAUGCAUUAUAUAUAGCUCAUUCAUACUCAUCAAACAAACCAAAUACAAUUCAUAAAACACAUCCAAAAUAAAGGAAUCUUAAUCCAAUUUAUUUAGAAAUUUGUGUAGUUAUCCCAAUUUUUUUUUUUUUUUUUUUUUUUUUUUUUUUUUUUUUUUUUUUUUUUUUUUUUUUUUUUUUUUUUUUUUUUUUUUUUUGUGUUUUCAGUUUUUUAUUUUUCUGUUUUCUUACACCACUCACCCACGCGUAUACCCUACCCCACGCUAACCAUAAAGCUCCCAAUUAGUUAACUAUUGGACAUAAUAUGCAUCACAUCAAUUAGAGAAUAGACAUAACACGUAUCCACUUUAAAAGAUUGGUACGAGAUGACUUUGAUUUAUACUUCAAUUUGUGGAAAAAGUAUAACUUUUUUUAUUAACAUCCAAAGGACAGAGCGGAUAUUGAUUAUAAGCAAAUUUCAUUUGUAACCGACCGUGGAAACUAUUAUCAUAUACAAUUUAAACUUUCCAGAAUCACCAAAAGGACGCGAACCACAAAUAUCAUCGAUGAUUUAAAGCUAAAAAAUAUAGAAAAAUUCCCAAAAAAUAAAAACGCUUGAAUUUGAAACUUAAUCUAAACGCUUGAAUUUGAAACUUAACUUUUAUUUGAUAUAUAUAAUUUAUGAAAUUUUUAUUUAAAAUAUCUAUACAAAAAGAGAGGAUAAAAUUGCAUAAUCACAUGCCACAAAAAAAUACAUAGAAAAGUAAGAAGAAGAAGAAAAAGAAGAAGAAGAAAAUAAAAUACAAUAUAAAUGUAUACAGUUUUAAUAUAUUAUACAAACACACUAUACACCAUGAUAUUAAAAUAUAAUCGGGAUACAAACACACUAUACACUAUACACCAUGAUAUAAUUAUCGUAUAUAUACAACUUUAUAUACGUGUAUAUACACUUCCAACUCUAUAAUAAAAUGUAUAUAUAACUUUUAUACAUUUCAUAAUAUUAUAUAUACAGCUUUCAUACAAAUUUAUAAUAUAAUUAACUUGUGAGUGUGUGUGUGUCUAUAUAUAUAUAUANNNNNNNNNNNNNNNNNNNNNNNNNNNNNNNNNNNNNNNNNNNNNNNNNNNNNNNNNNNNNNNNNNNNNNNNNNNNNNNNNNNNNNNNNNNNNNNNNNNNNNNNNNNNNNNNNNNNNNNNNNNNNNNNNNNNNNNNNNNNNNNNNNNNNNNNNNNNNNNNNNNNNNNNNNNNNNNNNNNNNNNNNNNNNNNNNNNNNNNNNNNNNNNNNNNNNNNNNNNNNNNNNNNNNNNNNNNNNNNNNNNNNNNNNNNNNNNNNNNNNNNNNNNNNNNNNNNNNNNNNNNNNNNNNNNNNNNNNNNNNNNNNNNNNNNNNNNNNNNGUGUGUAUAUAUAUAUAUAUAUAUAUAUAUAUAUAUAUAUAUAUAUAUAUAUAUAUAUAUAUAUAUAUAACUUUACAUACGUGUAUAUACACUGACAAACUUAAAAUACAAAUGCAAAUUAUAAUAUUGCAUAUACAGCUUUAUAUAUAUGUAUAUAUUAUUUUUAUGCAUUGUAUAACUAUGUGUUAAAAUAUUUAUACAAAAUUACAGAUAUAAAUACCAUCCAACCAUCACUGAACUCAAACUCACCACUAAUAUCCACUUAAAAAUAUCUUCACUCACGAAACACCAUGCUUGCCCACCAAUAUAGACCAUUAAUAACAUGCGGAUCUUGACAAGAAAAUCUCAUCAAUUCUAUUUUCACUCUCGUUAUCAUUCACGUAAUGUUAACUGAAAAAUUUAUUUAAGAUUUAAAUUAAGAUUUCGAUAAUUUUCUCUAGACACUUAGACAAAAUUCCCAAAAUAUACUCACGGAAAAACAUGAGAAGAAAUUAAAUAAUAGCUAAAUGGACAAAUAUAAUUAUAAAAAAACAUGGAAAAGAAUUAGAUUAGAAGCGAUAAUGGAUAAAUAUUAUCUAGUUUAGAAAAGUGGCUAUGUAAAACCACGUGUUAUGCUAGAAAAAGUUGAGAGAUAAAUUAUAAAAAGUAUUAGUUAAAAAAUAAAAGGGUGAGAAAAAUAAGGUUAGAGUAAAAAGAAUUGAAAAAGGUGAAAUAUAUAGAAAGUGUAAAAUAUUAGGUGCAGAGUGAUAUUGGGAAAGAAAAAAUAUCUAGGGAAGAUAAAAAAAAUUAUAAUAAUUUGCUUUUUUCUUAGUUUAUUCGAUGGGCUAUAAUUUGAUAUAAAUCUUCACAUGAUUUAUAUAUAAUAGAUUGUCACUAUAUAAAAUAGACUGUUACCAUAUAAAAAUCAUACGAAAUAGACUGUUAUUAUACAAUAUAUACAAAAUAAGUUGUCUCUAUACAAAAUAGACUGUUACUAUAUAAAAAACAUAUAAAAUAGACUGUUACUAUACAAAAAAUAUACAAAAUAGACUAUCACUAUGCAAAAAUAUAUAAAAUAGAUAUUUCAGGCUAUUAGAUGUAAAAGUUUGCGCCGAAGGGCCAUUUUGUAUCAAUAGCAAAAUAUAUGGGCUAUUAAAAUUUUGAGGGGCUAUAGAGGAUUAUUUUCUCAUUGAUUAUUGACUUCCAUAUUAUUAGUAAAUCAGGUUACACAAUGGGUGAAAUUCAAAAAUAUCCAGAAUUAUAAGUGAUAAUUGAAAAAUAGUCACAAUUUUAAAAAUAAUUCAGAAAAUAAUCCAGCAUAAUAUGAUGGACGUUCAUACAUAGGUGCUCCAAUCUCAGUAUAUUAUGCUAGUUCUUCCCGUGUAUUGGAGUUCCAACAUAACAUGUUGGAGGUUCAUACACAUGUUCAAUUGUGUACCUAAUUUUUGUACUAUUUUAACACCUCCCAAAGUUAUUAUUGUUUUGUUAUUUUAAUUAUUUUCCUUAGUUUUUGUGAUUUUAAUUGUGUAAUUCCCGUCAAAAGAAUACCAAAAAAUAGUUCCUUUUUGUGCCUUUUAGGAAUUAACUAACCGUUCAAUUGGUGAAUUAAUCUAGUUAAUUGAUCGUUUAAAUAAAUUUUCAUUUAUUUAUUUAUUUAUGUAAAUUUAGUUUAAUAAGUAGGAUGGAGGGAAAAUGGGCUAAAAUUGAAAUGGUUAGGUGGCUAAGAGUGCAAAAUCAAGGUUACUUGAGAGGGCUGCCGGCCUAGAGUCAAAACUACUUAAAGACAGAACUACGUCAUUUCAUCAAGAGAAGCUAAAAUCAAAUCUCAGCCCUCCAUUACACUCUGAUCCAAUGGCUUUUAUUCAAUAUCCUCAAAGAUAUUAAAGACCCCUAAAAUCAGAUUUUUGGCCCUCAUUUACACACCCAACCCAAACCCUAAACUCCUCUCCUCACUCUCUCCUCUCUACUGCCGUAAGGCGUCCACGACGGCGCCGCCCGCCGGAAUUCGCCACCGAUGGAGAAGCACCACCAACCAACCUUGAAUUAUCAUCUUAUACUCUCCCCAACCUCCUCUUUCCAUAUCUUCAAACCAAAUCCUCUCAUCAAACUCCACGAAUUUUAGAUCUAGGAAACCCUAGCCACCAUCUUUUUGUCCAAAUUCGUGAAGCUCCAGUCAUCUCCGCCCAAUGACAUAUAGAUCAAUAGAAAGAGCUCUACGAGAUGUAUAUUUUCAUGUCAAUUUCCAUCCCAAAACUCCAACAGAUGCCCGACGUUGCUGUCCGCCGUCGCCGCUGCCUGCUACGACCACCACUGCCUCAGACCUCCGCCACACCACUGCUCCUCUUUUCUUUAGCCUAGUUCGGACCCAAGAAUACUCGUUUUAUUUUAGUAUGACAUCGAUUUCAUUGAGCUUAGUGUCUACUAAAAUAGAAUGAGUGUUCUACGGUUGGACAACCAUUACUCUAGGUCCUCGGCAUCUGUCUUGUUGCUCGAUUUGACAUUGAAUCCCUCCUUAUGGUAAAACAUCAAUUUACUUUUCCUUUUUUUAUCUUUACUGAUUCUGUGUGCUUUUGUAAUUAGUAUUAGUUUUAAGGUUUAAUUUCUAUUCUUGUUAUUUUUAUUUGUGUGAAAAUGAGCUAGGGUAAUAGCGGUUUUCAAUUACAUGUUACUUUAUAAAUGUUAAUUUCAGUUCUUCGACCUACCUGGUCGAGUAUUUUGCUAUUGUCUGUUAGUUAUGAUUUUUGGUUCUUCGACCUAGUCGAUCGACUAUUUUUUGUGAAAUUGUUGAGUUUGAAUUUUCAGUUUUCCGACCUAGCCGGUCGACAGUUAAGUGUUUUAUACUAGUUUCAUGAAAAAAAAGAUUAGUUGAAUCAUUAACUUAGUUAGUCGUUUUGUUUAAUUGUUGAUAAUUUUUGUCUGAUAAUUUACUAAUGCACAUCCAAGUUGUAUUUUAUUCUGUGUUAAUUUGCAUAAAAUCACAUUACUUUAAUUCAGUUUGUUUGGAUGCUCAAUCUGGUUACAAUCAAAGUUUUAUUAUUGCUUUGUCUAUUUGUGAUUGGAUUAGAUUUUGUUAUUUAAGUUUUGUCGAUAAAAGCUGAAUCAAAAUAUGGUACAUAGUUGGUAGUUGUUACUAUUUGAAGCAUGCUAGAAAAAUGACUACUUUACUUUGUGUCUAAACUUGAUGAAAAAGAAAUGUCCUUUCUCCUAUUUGGAUAGUCUUUUUGACUGUAUUUAGUGAGAAAAAGUAAGUCCUUUGAACAGAUUUUUGGUAAACUGAAAUUUGUCCAAAAGUGCUUGCUUUUCCUACUUAAAGGGGUCUCCUCUCACUCUAUACAUAAUCUAUCACACAACUGCCAUAUUUUUUUUUACUCUCUAAAAAACACAACUUUGAAAGUAAAAAUCAACAGCUGAAACACCCUUUACUAAGAUGAAAUUGUUGUUCCAACACGAAUUGGUUGUUUGUUUUGUUGUUGUUCCACUGCUGUUUUCUGCUGCUUUUGUUCUUGAGCUUCCAUUCUUCAUUGUUAUAUUUAUUAUUCUGCAAUACAGGAAACUCUUGAACCUUUUGUACUGCAGAAUUUUCUAAGCAAUAGCUGAAGAUUUGAACCUGUUAGAUUGCUAGAAUAGAGUUGGAUUCAUUCUAUGAGUUUGCUUAAGCGCUUUAACGUUUUUAUGUAUGGCUCAAGCAUGUGAAUAUGUAAUUGAUAGCUAGAAGUACUAUUCUUCCCUAAAUGAAAUCGAAGCACUCUGUCUCGUCUAGUCAUAGAAAAGAUAAUGGACUAGCCAAUAUAUUUUAGGCAAAGUUUUAUAUUGUCUUUUUAAGCAUACACUAUUGUUAAGUAUUCUUAUAAUCAAAGUUCUAGUUAAUUUGGUUAGUUUAAGCAUGAUAUAAGAAGAGAUGUUUGAGGGUUGAUAUGUUUUGGCAUAGUUAAUGAAAUUCGACUUUCCGGUGUUGGAGUGAACUAAUUUGGUCUCCAAUUUUAAUUAACUUCUAUAGGUUAAUCAAGUAUACAAUCUUAGCGAGUAAAUAUGCAUUUUCUCUUUUAGCAGGUUAGUUGGGUAGUAAUUAUUUAUUAAGUAAAAUGAGAUCUAUCCAUGCAUUUAAUUUAUU